UUCCUCCGCCCCACCCCUCUCUCUCUCCCGCUCAUCUCUCCCUCUCCCCCGCGCGAGUAGCUACGGCGGCCGAUUCCGGCGAGAUUUGGCGGGAUUCGACGGUGCCGAACACACAACCACGUGACCCCCCUUGCCCCGCUCCUCCAUCCCCUCCGACCAGAUUCAACGCGCGCGUACUCCUACGACCAUGCGUGACCCUCCCCAGCGGCUAGGGUUUCGGCCACCACAUCGCCGGCGUGGUCCUCUACUGCUUUUUCUCGACAAGCUCUCUCGAUUCCUCCGCAUCGAUCUGCUUUUCCCCGCCUCCUGCGUUCGUCGAGAAGGGCGUUCCUUGAGAAGGGUGUCCUCUCUGUCCCUGAGUUCAUCCUCGCCGGCGACAAGCUCGUAUCCAAGUGCCCCACCUGGUCCUGGGAGGCGGGCGAUCCGAGCAAGAGGAAGCCAUACCUCCCCUCUGAUAAGCAGUUCCUUGCCACCAGGAAUGUGCCCUGCCUAAGACGAGCUGUGGUGGUCGAGGAAGAGUAUGAUGUAGCGGGAGCUGAGGUUGUUCUCGAUGACGAUGAGGAUGGCGAAGGAUGGCUCGCAACACAUGGGCUGCAACGUUGAUUUCUCAGUGUCAAUGCUUCUUUGUUUUACACUACGGAUUGUGUGGGGUGAACUCUUUUUUGUUUCUUCUGUUAGUAAUAUUUAGCGUCAGAAUCAAAAGAGGAGGAAGACAUACCGUCUAUGGAUACAUUGGACAUAGGGAAAGUCAAAUGAUUCCACAGCUACCCCUCAGCCUUCAUAUUUCAUUGCAGAAGAACCUGAUGAUGAUAACAUUCUUCUCACCAGAACAUAUGAUGUCAGCAUCACAUAUGACAAGCACUACCAAACACCACGUGUCUGGCUUACAGGCUAUGAUGAGGCAAGAAUGGCAUUAAAGCCUGAACUUUUGUUUCAAGAUAUCAGUCAAGACCAUGCACACAAAACAGUAAAUUUCUAGCUAUCAUGUUUUAUUUACCUCAGUUUUCUGGCAUGCCAUAUUUACCUCGGUUUUCUGACAUGUCAAGUGAAAUACACAAAUAGCUAAUUUAUUCCACAUCAGUAAGUCGGCAUCCGUGAGUUCCUUAAUAGUCGUUCUUAUAAUUUCCACUUAGCCUCCAGCCUCAUGCUUAUAAUCUCUUUGCCAUCAGUAAGUCGGCAUCCGUGACUUCCUUAAUAGUCAUGCUUAUAAUUCCUGGGUUUCUAAUUAAGAUCACUUUGAAAAUCAGGAUCUUAACUAAGAUUUUCUUGAUCUCAAGAGCUGGCUCCUACAACAUUGCAUUUCACCAAGUGAAAUGCUACAUUUCUACUUCUAACCCAUUCUCUCUUUCUUAGUAUUUUUGUUAUGCAGGUUGGAAGAAAAGAAGAAGACCCAGAGAAGAUCUUAGUAAUAAGAUAGUUUUUAGGAAAAUAGAUAUUUAGUUUUAGGUCAUUUCUUGUAAUUUCAGAUAUGGAGUGCUUGUCUUUAGUUUUUGUUUUGACUUUG